rnacentral:rRNA from 1 species
AAUGAACGUUGGCGGCAUGGAUUAGGCAUGCAAGUCGGGGGAAUCCCAGCAAUGGGGGAACCGGCGUAAGGGGCAGUAAGGCAUGGGUACCUACCUUGGGGUUCGGGAUAGCCAUCAGAGAUGGUGGGUAAUACCGGAUGACGUCGUGAGACCAAAGAUUUAUCUCCCUUAGAGGGGCCCAUGUGAUAUUAGCUAGUUGGUGGGGUAACGGCCCACCAAGGCGAAGAUGUCUAGCGGGUGUGAGAGCACGACCCGCGCCACUCGCACUGAGACACUGGCGAGACACCUACGGGUGGCUGCAGUCGAGGAUCUUCGGCAAUGAGCGCAAGCUUGACCGAGCGAUGCCGCGUGAGCGAUGAAGGCCUUCGGGUUGUAAAGCUCUUUAGUGGGGGAGAAAAGCCGCAAGGUGUGAUCUAUCCCAAAAAUAAGCACGGGCUAAGUUCGUGCCAGCAGCCGCAGUAA